UUCAACGGGUGGGGAGCUGAACAGCACAGAGACUUGAGCAGUGCUGCGGAGUGACGGGCGGCUGGUGAGCAGGAACCAGCCAGCUGAGCCACUUUCUGUCUGCAUUUAAUUUGACACACGGCCGGGCUCCUGCUGCAAGCCACAAUGUCAAGCUGAUUUCAAGGUUCAGCAGUUUCCUGCUGGCCCUUAGCAGAAUGGGGGAGACUUUCCAUUGCACAAAUGGAAUGGGAUGUCCCAUAAGAAUGACCUAUUUUCAACCAUUGCAUGGGAAGUUUGCUUCACAUUUCAGCCUGGAGUAAGACCUCAGCAGCAGAAGACUCGAGUGUGCACAGAAAACAGUGGUGUCACCAUUUCCAGGCUGAUGACGGGCCCAGGGACAAGCUGCACAUCAGAAAAUGCAAGUUGCCAUGGAGUGGGCUGGAGCAGCUGGCCUGACCAUCACCAAUGUACCAAUUCUACACUGAGUACUAAUCUGCUGCUGUAUACCUGUUCCUGCUCUUUUUGCUUAAACUACCUGCAGGUGUCUAUGUCACAGUGGGACAUUGCACAAAGCUGGAAAUCAAACUAGUUGAAGAACGUGGGAAUGGGAGGCUGACAGCACUAAUCUAUCACGCCCAUGCUGUUUUGCAGUCCUCAAGUGGAAGAUGCUGUAUGAGCUGCUGGAUAGAAAUUACUAUGAUUAUUUAUUUCUUUCUGUGCAUUUUAUUUUGUUUGUUUUGUAGACAUCAGUAAAACUCGCCUGCUGUCUUUUCAGCAUCACAGGUUGGACUGUUGAGCUCUUCAGAAGACUACUUUGAAAUAUUAAAAUUGUCUGCCUUUUGGGCCCUCCUAAAAAUAAGUGAGAACAUAAAAAAACUGAGGAGGAGGGGAGCAUGGCAAUUCCAGAUGUGUGAUGCCCAGACCUCAUAUUAUAAACAGGUUUUCAUGCUCAAGAAACCUGCUUGAUUCUGAAGGGAGAAGAGAUUAAUCUGGAAAAAACUUCCAUGGGAACUCCUGGAGAUAUUUUAAUUUCUUUGGUCUCAGUAUUCUUCUGGUCUGCUUGAAGUGAUAUUUACAUAGUGUAAUGAAAAGAGUUUUGAGAGAGAGAUCUGAUCUCUGUUUUGUCUGCCAUAAAGAAGAUCAGCUGUGAGAUCUGUGUGUUUACAAGAGUCCCUAGCUCUCUGCUCUAGUUCUGUUAUCUUUUAAAUGAAAUCAUUAGCACAUAUUUGUAACGGACCUGCUAUACCUGGUGAAAUUUUGGCUCUCAGUUCCUUUCUUUGUGACAGAUGAUGCACUAAGCCACAUAUGACAGAUGGAAAGCAUGGUAGGAGGUGGUGAUUUGAGUACAUAAGAGAGGAAGAUGGAGUAAAGUAUAUUUUCACAGGCCGAGCAUUUUCGUACAUAGCAGUGUUUGCAUUUGCCGUGAACAGUUUGUAUGAUGAAAUAUUCAAGAUUUGUUGGGGCUGUCUUUGUGGAACGGCUUGUUCCAUCCAUACGCAGAAGGAACAGUGGCUGUGGAGAACAGAACGGCUGCAGGACUGCUGCAGUAUGGCGUGUCUGAGGGAAAGAUACCUUGACUGAUACCACUAUUCCUCCCAUAGGUGUGGAGUCUCCUCAAAUGUCACGAAGUCCCCUUCUAAAACUUGCAGUAUGGGUACUUUAUCUAGAUUAUAAAUAUUCAUCUGCUUCUAAUCUUCCAUUUGCUUUUUAAUUGGAGUCUUAAUUGUUUAUUCUCUGAGGCCAUUAGGAAGCUGACAGGCACUGUACGGCUCAAUUUAUUUCUUUAGGGUCCUAAUUCAAAGCCACCAGAGACUGAGACCUACUCCACAGGUUUGGAAGAACUUUGGGUCAGGCUCAAAGUUGGGCAUUAAACAUUUGAUACACAUUGAUAGGGGGUGUUUCUGGAGUGGAUUUCUAUCACUGAUGGCUUUUGAAUACUAGAACAGUAUUUUAUAUCCCUGUGGAGGGUAAAGGAAGGCAGAUGUAGCAAGGCUAAAAAUUCACGUUUUGUGUCUUAAACCCUGGAUCUUGACUAAUUUAACAGGGUUUUAAAUGCUGUUGUAGUUGUGUUCAGGUCCUGAGGAGAGAGUCUUGAAAAGGAAUUUGAGCACAGUUACAGAAUAAGUUGAUCUGCAGCGCAGAUAAGCAACUUUCAUUCAACUGUUUCUAAUUCAUUUGUAAGUUGAAAAAUGAAUACUGAAUCUACUUUGAAAUAUUUGUCUUUUAAAAUGACUUAGAUCUUUGCAUCAUUAUUCUUCGCUACAGAAAGAAAAAAAAAGUAAAUUUAAUUGUAAAAUCAGGAGAACAGACCAGUUGUUUUUCAGGGCAAUAGUUGGAGCAGGCCAGUUGUGAAGUGUGGGCUAGUGCUCAUUCUGCACUAUAUGCUGCGGUGCCUCCCUUGAGCUGAUGACUCUGCAAAAAGAUGCACUGGGAAGGCUUGAGUUGCUGUCAUAAGGGCACCCAACAUGAGGCCAGAUCAAUCACUCGUAAAGCACCAAACUUGAUUAGUCAGGUGCUGGCAAACUGUGGGGCAGUUGUGUUGUGAAGGCAGCUGCUGGCCUCUGUCCUCCCAAGAGAGCCUUCCCAUGACUUGUGACAGGAGAAGGGCAUUUUCCUCAGACUGCAAAGCUGAACCUCCUUCACUUCACAGCUCUGUAGAUGUGGCUGCUGCUUUUGAAACACAUUUUUGGCCAGACAAGAAUCCCUGAAUGAUUCAAAACCUUUGGCUUCGGACUCCUACACUUUUUCACAGCAUCUGUCGUGGCCUUAUUGGCAAUUAGAAAGUCACUGCUGCACUUAUUAUCUGAAGAAGUAGCUCAUUUUUGUCUUCUCACUGUAAAAAAGAUACUAAUGAUAAAAGAAACUGAAAAUUAUGAAAAGGGAAGGGAUAUUUUUCCAUCCUGGAGAUAUAAGUAUCUAAGUGUAAUAAAUUAAUACUUCUUAUGCAAGGGUGAAAAAAUUGAACCUAAUGGCUGGUUAAAAAAAGUGCCAACACAAUUUAGUUGGACUGGCUGAGUCCUAAAUUUAUUUUUUUUUCCAAAGUCAGAUUGAUUUUUCUCCUUUAGUGGUAAGCCCCUGUCUCUUCAGUUCACAUUAGUCUGCAUUGAUCAGAGACAUGGAAUAAACGUUUUCAACUCUGAUGUGCCUUAGUGCUCCCCCUAAAGACAAAUUUUAAAUGUCUUGACUCUGUUACUGGAUACAAGGCUACCAGUUGUGGUGAUGAUGAUGACAACAACAAUGAUGAUAAUAAUAACAAUGAUAACUGAGCAAUUGCCUGUAGUUGGAUUUUGUGUUGACAGCUUGAAUCACACAAAGCCUGUCCAAUGGAGAGAGAAGCAGGCAAUCGCAGUAAUGUUGGAUGCCCAUCUCAAUCUCCCUUACUCUCUAGAGGGGCAAAAAGAUGCAAAAGAGGUUGCUUGUGGCCAGAGGAGUGGGACAAAAUCCAGGACAAGUAGGAAAUGCUGUGAAUUAGGGCAAUCUUUGGAUCACUCUUCAAAGACUGGUUGUCUGACAGAGCGCAGCCUUACAAGUUUAAGAUUUCCUCUUCCAUCAGACCUCCUGGAGCAAAGCUGGGUUGCACAGGCUGCCUGCCUGCCCACAGCAAUGAACUCAUGCUCCCUAGACAGUUCUGCCUCCUCUUUCUGAGGCAUUGCUGUCUCCAGUGGUUCAGUGGUGGCCACAGAACAGCUUUCAAGUAUAUAAAACACAAUGUCUUAAAUGGUGACAUGAGAGAACAAUGGAAGCUAUUAGCUGGGCUAUUCAUUUUUCAAAGCCAUUCAGUUCUUCACAGCUAUAAAAUACUAGGAGGAGCUGGCUUUCAGUUUUAUAAUCACAGACUAAUUUAGGCUGGAAGAGUUCUAUGGAGUCAUCUGGUCCUACCCAUUGCACAAAGCAAAGCCAAAUAGUAUGAUUUGCUCAGGGCUUUUGCAGUUCAGUUAUGGAUAUCUCCAGGGAUGGUGAUUCCCUUAUACUCCUGGACCCUCAUUUCAGGGUCUUACCAGCUUUAUGUUUUUUUUUUUUUUUUUUUAAAAAAAAAGCUUUUCCUAGUUCCAAUCAGAAUUACCUGCAUUGUGACUUGUAUAUGUUGCCUCUUGUCCUGUCACCCUGUCCCUCUGAGAUGUGCCUGCCUCCAUCUUCUCUGUAAUCUCUCAGUGGUAGGUUCAGACAGUGAUAAGACCCCCUUGCACUGCCUCUUCCCCAGGCUGAACAGUCCCAGCUCCAUCCACUUCUCCUUGUGUGUGCCCUGUGCUCCAGCCCCUGACUAUCUUGGUGGCCCUGCUGGACUGGCUCCAGUAAGUCCAUGUCUGUCUUGUACUGGGGAGCCUUGAACUGGACACAACAUACAGGAGUCGGCCUCACAGGUGGUAAAUAGAGAGGAACAGUCACUUUCCUCAAGUUGAUGGGUAUCCUUUCACUAACACUGGGCCUUAUUCACCAAAAGGACUUAUUUUUUGUGUUUAUCAUUCACAAGCUGAAAAAAUUGUGCUAAGAGUUGUAGUUGAAUGAAUUGCUUAGAACUGUGUUUGCAGAGAAUUCUACUCAAUUUACUCCAAUGAAUUUAGUAUGGGCAGUAGUGUUCAUUGUAUAUGUGAGUCUGAGACCAUUCAUUUUCUCAGAAAGCCUGUACCUAAGGGCAGAGGUGGGCAGCGGUGCUUGACAGUUUCCCUCCUUGUCUUUUUCGUCUUCUAGUCUCCCUAUCACUUUGGUGACAUCAGGGGCAUCCUGGUCUCUUCCAACUCUGUUUAGUAACAACUAUGAAUUAAAUGACAAAUCCCUUUGGGUCCCCUAUUAGCCUUGGGCAGAGCUGGAAACUGUCCUGAAGCACGCAUGUCGGCUGCCCCAUCCCCUUCCCUUGCUAUGGUAGUGGCCUUCAUUCACACUGACCUAACCAUACGACAUUGCCUUCCUCAAGUGCUCAUGGUGUGAGAUCAAGUGCUGAUCAGGUCUGUCUGGGGAAAUUAUUUGUACAGUUCAUGGCUUUGUAAAAUUAAACUGCUGGGAGGAGCCUGGGAACCUACAACCUCGUGUUCUUUGCAGAGCAGAGAAUCCCCUAGGGUGUGUGUUACCCUUCCCACCAUUUAUUUCUGGGAAUGUAGUGGAGCUGAUCCAAAUAUUGCCUCUGAAUUGGUCUUCCAAAUGAAAUAUUUUCAUUCCUCAGAAAUCUCAAACAGGUUGCUCAUAACCUCUGAAAAUUUGUUUUGGGUGAUCUCUUUUGUUUUUACUUUGUUUUCAUGUUUUCAGAGUUUCUUUAAAUCAGUGUUUCUUUAUUGGCUAAUCUGUUAGAAUGGAAUAUCUCGAAUUCAACAAUCCUGUAUUUAUUUAAAUCCUAUUUUUUUAUCAAAAGUUUUCUUCCAUUCCACAGAAAUCCCAAUAAGUGAAAAUUGUCAAAAUCAGGAAGAAGAAAAAUCUUGGAAAGUGUCAUGACUCAUUUUUUGUUUAAUUUUCUUAAUAAUGGUGGGAAUGAAGAUGAGAGAGUGAGUGAGCGAGAGCACAAGGCUGAUCACAUGAGCUUUUUGAGCUGUUCACAUUCGUUGUCACAGCAGCUGCCUCAUCGCUCCCAGAAGAUCCUCUUUCCAUCUCUUCUGCAAAUACAGCAUGUUUAGAGAAGUGCAGAGUGGAGUACAACCGGAAGAACGAAAUGUGGGUUGUUUGGCAAUUACACCGUCUGUCACAUGAGGACACGCUUUUUAUAUCAAAAUCAACUUUGUAAUAAUAAACCAUAGAUGUUCAGCGUCACUUACUGGGACAUGUGCCUAACAUUAAAUUAAUUUUUAGACCAAUCUGACUGCUGUCUGAGCAUGCCACAUUAGAAUAUGGCUGUUUGGUAGCAUAUUCUCAGGCUGACACUCUUGGAUUGCCCUCCUCACCCACUGAACAGAGCAGGCCAGGCCCCCUCCAGGUGUGCAGCACAGACGAAUGCUGCUGUGAGCUGCAGGUGGGAGAGCUGAGAAAUGUUUGGCUGCUCCGUAUGAACAGUCCACAUGCCUACACUGCAUCCCGUGCCUGUGAUGCUGCUGCUUGGACUCAGGCUCAGAUUCAUCAGUGCUGGAGUUAGUUGACUCCUCUUCAGUGACACCCGCUCUCUGAUAACAUGGAUAAACUAGAGCUAAGCUGCUUUGUAGUGUCAGGGUGGUAACAAACAGGCAGCGCAUAUCAGCAAGUCCGAACUUGUGUUCAAUCUUCCUUGAAAUGCUCUGACUGAGACCAUUGAGACCAUUGCAAAUCUUUGUAAUUGGUUUGUGCUGGAACCCCUUGAGGACUUUUUUUGUAGUGGCCUUGGAAAACCCAGAAGCUGUGCCAUAGCGGGAGAUUUUAGUGCUGGCAACAUCUUCCUAGAAUAGAAAGCAUGUACUCAUAAGUCUUCUCUGUCUUUGUCAUGUAUAUUAUGUAGCCAGUGGUGUUAGCUGCAGUCCAUAGCUUUGCUCUUUUUCAACAUUCUUCAGUCUUUCAGGUCAAUUUUGACUUUACAGUUACUGCUCUAUUAAAUUUUGUGAAAACUUC